UCGAGAAUCUUCGGCAAUGAGCGCAAGCUUGACCGAGCGACGCCGCGUGCGGGAUGAAGGCUUUCGGGUUGUAAACCGCUGUCAGUGGGGAGGAAAUUCUUGGGGGUACUCCCCCUUGAUUGACCGAUCCGCAGAGGAAGGACGGGCUAAGUUCGUGCCAGCAGCCGCGGUAAGACGAACCGUCCGAACGUUAUUCGGAAUCACUGGGCUUAAAGAGUGCGUAGGCGGCUUAUCAGGCGGGGUGUGAAAUCCCUCGGCCCAACCGAGGAAUUGCGCUCCGAACCGAUAGGCUUGAGGAGGAUAGAGGUAAGCGGAACAGAUGGUGGAGCGGUGAAAUGCGUUGAUAUCAUCUGGAACACCUGUGGCGAAAGCGGCUUACUGGGUCCUUUCUGACGCUGAGGCACGAAAGCUAGGGUAGCGAACGG
rnacentral:rRNA from 1 species